CCAAAGGCGAUGAUGCAUAGCCCGAGUUGAGAGACUGAUCGGGCCCACAUUGGGGACUGAGACACGGGCCCAAACUCCUACGGGAGGCAGCAGUAGGGAAUCUUCCACAAUGGACGCAAGUCUGAUGGAGCAAACGCCGCGUGAGUGAAGAAGGGUUUCGGCUCGUAAAAAGCUCUGUUGUUGGUGAAGAAGGACAGGGGUAGUAACUGACCCUUUGUUUGACGGUAAUCAAUUAGAAAGUCACGGGCUAACUACGUGCCAGCAGCCGCGGUAAAU
rnacentral:rRNA from 1 species